UGUUUUUUUGAGUGCAAAAUAAAAUUCGAUUUCAAGUUGAAAUUUUUUAAGGGGAAGAAAAAAAUAAAACAAUACCUAAAAAUUUAUGGUUUAUUGAUGGAGUUUUUGUGAAAGAUUUUUCAUUUCUCUUAUGAGCAGAAAUAUCCGAAAAAGAGGAUUUUUAAUUAUUGAAUUCGGAAAUUUUUGGAAUAUUUGAAGAUUCUAUCCUCGAUGGCUUGUGGUGUCACGUACUUCAAAGAUAAGGGCAAAAGUAAAAACGAGUAUCUUGAAGGACACAGAAUUCUUCAUAUUCAGACUUUUUAGAACUCGGUCUAUUUUUACGGUUAUUUUUCACAUUUUCUGAAUGGAAAUUUAACUUGAAAGUAGGGAUCUCCGAGGGCUAUUUAGUUUUAAAGAAUCUUCUUGAAGCUGAAAAUUCGUUAUUAAGACAACAAUGUAUCUAACAUACAAUUCAGAUGUAACAUUGUGUGCUUUUUUACGAUCUUUCGGUGGUUUUGCACUUUGUGUAUUUGUGUCAAAUUG